UACGUAGGGCGCAAGCGUUAUCCGGAAUUAUUGGGCGUAAAGAGCUCGUAGGCGGUUUGUCGCGUCUGCCGUGAAAGUCCGGGGCUCAACUCCGGAUCUGCGGUGGGUACGGGCAGACUAGAGUGAUGUAGGGGAGACUGGAAUUCCUGGUGUAGCGGUGGAAUGCGCAGAUAUCAGGAGGAACACCGAUGGCGAAGGCAGCUCGCUGGGACGGUACUGACGCUGAUGCGCGAAAGCCAGGGGAGCGAACGGG
rnacentral:rRNA from 1 species